rnacentral:rRNA from 1 species
UACGUAGGGGGCGAGCGUUGUCCGGAUUUAUUGGGCGUAAAGAGCUCGUAGGCGGUUCGAUAAGUCGGAUGUGAAAUCUCCACGCUCAACGUGGAGGGGCCAUUCGAUACUGUCGUGACUCGAGUCCGGUAGGGGAGUGUGGAAUUCCCGGUGUAGCGGUGAAAUGCGCAGAGAUCGGGAGGAACACCCGUAGCGAAGGCAGCACUCUGGGCCGGUACUGACGCUGAGGAGCGAAAGCGUGGGGAGCGAACAGG